GGGGCUGUAGCUCAGUGGUAGAGCAUUCGUCUAGCACGUGUAAGGCACUGGGUUCAAUCCUUAGCACCA
rnacentral:tRNA from 1 species